rnacentral:rRNA from 1 species
UACGGGGGGUGCGAGCGUUGUCCGGAUUCACUGGGCGUAAAGGGCGCGUAGGCGGCCGAGUCAGUCGGGCCUGUAAGUGCGGGGGCUUAACCCCGUGAUGGGCCCGGGACGGCGCGGCUGGGGCGCGGUCGAGGGAGACGGAAUGCCGGGUGUAGUGGUGAAAUGCGUAGAGAUCCGGCGGAACACCGGGUGGUGAAGACGGUCUCCUGGGCCGAGGGCCGACGCUGAGGCGCGAGAGCGUGGGGAGCGAACCGG